rnacentral:tRNA from 1 species
CCUUAAUAUAUACAUUUAUAUAUAUAUAUAAUCUUCGAUUAUGUUAUAUAUCAUAAAUAAUAAUAAAUAAGGG